CUCUGGCUUUCUUGGUGGAAGAUGGAUCUCCAAAUUCUUUGUCAUCAUGUUUGCUAUCAAAGUCUUUUCCUUUGCCCUUGAAGAUUUGAAUUCC